rnacentral:rRNA from 1 species
GACGUAGGUGGCGAACGUUAUCCGGAAUUAUUGGGCGUAAAGGGUGCGUAGGCGGCAUGAUAAGUUAUUGGCGGGAAAUCGAGGCUCAACCUCGUGGAAACUAAUAAUACUGUUUUGCUUGAGUACAGGAGAGGUUAACGGAACUCCAUGUGGAGCGGUAAAAUGUGUAGAUAUAUGGAAGAACAUCAGUAACGGCGAAGGCAGUUAACUAUUCUGUUACUGACGUUGAGGCACGAAAGCGUGGGGAGCAAAACGG